AAGAUCAACACCAUCCAUGUAGCAAGCAGUCCGGAAGUCCUCGCCCAAUGAGACCUCAUCGAGGAUCGAAUCGAUCUUCGAUAGCUUCCUCCAUUGCAGGGUGUUCUUCAGCAUUUCCAGGGCUUCCUUGACUCUGAACUCGCGAGCGCGGAGGAACUUGAGGAGGACCACAUCGGUGCUCUCCGAGCUCCUGCUCGGUAAGAGAGGCACUCCCCAUAUAGAGA
rnacentral:misc_RNA from 1 species